AGAGGAGGGUGGGGGGUGGAAGAGAAUGCAGAAAAGUGGCAGUGGUCUUUUCACUGAGCGUUUGUGUCUGGAGUGUUCACUAGCUUCUACCACUCUCUCGCUCUUAUUGUUGCUUAGGGUGGAGGUUGAAACUGGAUUUAACUGACUCUUAAGAAAGAAAGUAAAGUGAAAUAGAGUAGCAGAGCAGAACGUGUGCUGUACAUGUUUUUCAGAUACCUCAUGUAUGAAUAUAAAGAAUGGUCACCACGCGGAACAAACGGAUGAAGUUGUGGAUGAAUCUGCAAGUUCAACAUGGAACUGAAUAUUUCGCACAUGGAGAUUUUUUGUGGGCAACGGAAUUGGCCUAGUCUGCACCCUAAGCCUGACUCCAUAUUGCCGCCAGGUGUAGGCUGACUCCGGUAUGGACAUCGAACCGGUCAACACCAUAGACAGAAGUCCUCCACCGUGCCUAGAAAUCAGCAAGCAAAAACAGCAAUGGGUUCUGAGUGGUUGUACAAUGCCAUGGAAACACAUUUGAAAUGUGAGACUGUGUACUGUAUGUAUGUUCAAGAUUUCGUUCCACCAACAACUUGUUUUCUUGCUGUCUGGCAGUUCUCAGAAAUAUAUCACACUGUGUCUCAGUGUAGAAAUAGGUCAAAUUAUAAUGUAAAUAUCUUUAACACUUACUCUAUUGUUCUGGAAUAACCUUUGAUUUCCGUUAGGGAGUGGCACUGUACCGUGAAUCAUGGCAUUUCUAAUUGCAACUUGUAGUGCAGACUGGGAAAGCCCUUUAUGCAGAGUUUGUGAUUUCUUAUUUCUGUGUAUUAAGUGGUAGUAAUGGGUAAACAACAAUUACAUUUGAUGUGCAGAAUAUAUAUUUAACUAAAACUAACUAAAACUGUUUAUUACUAAAAUUUCUAAUUUACUAUUUCUAUUCUCACACUCAAGUUGCAUGUACUGUACACUAUAUGUGUGUAGAUAUUUUAAAAUAUAAAUAAAGCAUUUCUGCUAUUGGUGCAUUCUCAAAUGUCAGUCACUGCAGUGUAUUUGAUCCAACAGCAGCAGUGUUGUCUGAUCUGGGCACAGCAAGCUCUACCUUUGCCUUUCAAACUGACCUUUGCUUUGAAGGUAUAAGUAUCUUAAAAUGCUAGUAAUUUGAAAUACAAGGAAUUUAUGGUGCUAAAUUUUGGUGGGAGCGCCCAUUUUAAUAAUUUCUCUAAUGAAUUAUUAAUCGAUAUACUCAAAAGUUAGUUCUCAUUGAACCACACCCAAUAAUUCUGCAUCAGAUCAUUUGAUUAAUUAUUCUGUAUGUUAGCAAUAUUCUUCCCUCAUUGGAGUAAAGUUGUUAAUUUUUUGGGAUGUAUAGUUGACCCCAUUAGUUCCACUCUCACUUACAUUUUACUUAUGUUGUACACUUGUUAUGCAAAUAAUCUAGGUCUCUGGAUUAUUUGCAUAGAUUUUUCUCAGUGUUCAGUUGCUGUACUAAUUGUGCUUUAUUUAUAUCUCUUCAAAAAGUACUUAACGUACAACCACAGGCAUCUGUAUCUGUCUUUUGUUUUAAACUGGUUUGCUAACCUGUUUUGAAAUUGGCACAUGAAAUAAAGGAAAAACACCAGUCAUAAGAAUUAGCAUUUCGU